rnacentral:rRNA from 1 species
AUUGAACGCUGGCGGCAGGCCUAACACAUGCAAGUCGAACGAGUGGCGGACGGGUGAGUAAUGUCUGGGAAACUGCCUGAUGGAGGGGGAUAACUACUGGAAACGGUAGCUAAUACCGCAUACCAUCGGAUGUGCCCAGAUGGGAUUAGCUAGUGGGUGGGGUAAAGGCUCACCAAGGCGACGAUCCCUAGCUGGUCUGAGAGGAUGACCAGCCACACUGGAACUGAUCCACGGUCCAAACUCCUACGUGCGCCAGCAGUGGGGAAUAUUGCACAAUGGGCGCAAGCCUGAUGCAGCCAUGCCGCUUGUAUGAAGAAGGCCUUCGGGUUGGAAAGUACUUUCAGCGGGGAGGCGUUACCCGCAGAAGAAGCACCGGCUAACUCCGUGCCAGCAGCCGCGGUAAUUC